rnacentral:rRNA from 1 species
AUACAGAGGGUGCGAGCGUUAAUCGGAAUUACUGGGCGUAAAGCGCGCGUAGGCGGUCUAUUAAGUCAGAUGUGAAAUCCCAGGGCUCAACCUUGGAACUGCAUCUGAUACUGGUAGACUAGAGUUUUGGAGAGGGAAGUAGAAUUUCAGGUGUAGCGGUGAAAUGCAUAGAGAUCUGAAGGAAUACCAGUGGCGAAGGCGACUGCCUGGACCAACACUGACGCUGAGGUGCGAAAGCGUGGGUAGCGAACAGGAUUAGAAACCCGGGUAGUCC